UACGAAGGAUGCAAGCGUUGUCCGGGUUUAUUGGGUUUAAAGGGUGCGUAGGCGGCCUAUUAAGUUAGUGGUGAAAACGUUCGGCUUAACCGGAUACCCGCCAUUGAUACUGAUAGACUUGAGUGCGACAGAGGGUGUUGGAAUGUGUGGUGUAGCGGUGAAAUGCUUAGAUAUCACGCAGAACACCAAUUGCGAAGGCAGAUGCCUAUGUCGUAACUGACGCUGAGGCACGAAAGCGUGGGCAUCAAACAGG
rnacentral:rRNA from 1 species